rnacentral:rRNA from 1 species
AUGGUGGCGUUGUGGCAUAUCUGGGAAGCAAGGAACUGUGCCCGUAACAAGCCGGUUGCUCCUGAGCCGAAACGCACAGCAGCUAAGGUGCAGGCCUACUCGGAGAUGAUCUUUCCACACCUUUUCAAGCCUGGGCGGGCGGCUCCGCGAGCGCCACCGGUUGUUUCUACUUCUGGCUGGUCUCCUCCCCCGCAAGGCACUCUUCUUCUUUCUUCUGAUGCGGCGGUGGACUUGGUGCGGGGCUCGUCGUCAGUUGGAGUUGUGGUGCAGGACUACUCUGGCCAGUGUGUGGCAGCGGCAUCUGAACCUCUUCCUGGCGUCUCUUCUCCAGAGCUGGCCGAAGCGCUGGCCCUGCGACGGGCAGCUCUGCUGGCUCGCCGGGAGGGCUUCCAGCAUGUGAUCUUCCAGUCUGACUGUCUUUCGGUGAUCCAAAGGCUGCAAUGUUCAGCCCGAGACCGUUCCAUGGUGGGAUCAAUUAUCUCUGACAUCAAGGGGAUUUGUGAAGCUCUGUCGUCUGUGUCCUUCAUGCAUGUUCGU